rnacentral:rRNA from 1 species
UACGUAGGGUGCGAGCGUUAAUCGGAAUUACUGGGCGUAAAGCGUGCGCAGGCGGUUCUCCAAGUCCGUUGUGAAAGCCCCGGGCUCAACCUGGGAAUGGCAGUGGAAACUAGGGGACUGGAAUCUGGCAGAGGGGGGUGGAAUGCCGCGUGUAGCAGUGAAAUGCGUAGAGAUGCGGCGGAACACCGAUGGCGAAGGCAGCCCCCUGGGCUGAGAUUGACGCUCAGGCACGAAAGCGUGGGGGGCAAACAGG